UAUCUUAUUACUGUUGAAUUGUAAUUUGUUUUUUUUCAAAAGUGGCUUAAGCCCAUUAAAUUAGAAAACCCUAAGUAUUUAAGUUGUAUCUUCCUGAAGUUGAAAUUUUUAUGAAAUUAGAAAAGUUGUUCUAUAUUUUAUCUUCCUUUACAAUCUUAGAUCUGAAGUAGAAUUAAUAUAGUCUAUCAUUAGUGCUUUCAUCUUGCACUUGUGGCUCCCCUAAACCUAUGAACCAUUCUUCUAGAGACGUCCUAGAAGAAGUUAUUCAAAC
rnacentral:lncRNA from 1 species